rnacentral:ribozyme from 1 species
AGAGGUCACAAGCUCAAGGCCAGAGCAGAAACACUCAUGACACAGCCUGUCAGAUUCUAGUGAAUCUGCAAAUUCACAA